CGUCCUCCAGAGCAAGGACAGACUUAAUUACUUCUCUGUCUACUUUUCUUACUCCAUGUAGGUUUCCCAGACACUAUGGGUUGAGGAGGAAUUGGAAGUUUGUAGGCUUAGACCUGGUGUCAUUCCAUCAGUGUUAAACUUCCCGGCUCAUCUUGGAAGAGUACGUGCCAGAAAGACCACGACCAAGCAGCCUUGAGAUCUUAGGCAGCGUCUCCCUGAGGUUCCUCUCUAUCUCCCCACACAUCCACCAACCACUGGAACACAUCUCCAAAGUUCUGCUGGGCCAGCUCAGCUUCCCCUCAGAAGAAGUGCUGCCACCUGCCAGAUGAAGGAGCCUUUUGAGAGGCAGCUGGCUUCGUGAUUGGACUGUACUUUGGUCUGUUCCAAUCCAGCUUCAGCUCCAGAGACGGCAGGCGGGACGAGUCAACGGAGGCCGGAUGGACGAAGGCAUGAAGCUGAGUACAAUCCAGAAAACAACAGAGGAGGAGUGCAGCAGCCCAGAGCCAGAACAACCAGAGUAGCAUCGUAUGUCUCUUAGAAAACAUCAUAGUAGAGCCUUUGGUAUGAAAAAACACCAUCAUAUACAUCGUAUAUUGUACAAAUAACAAGUCAAAGGAAAGAGACAUACAUUGUAGAAUUGUAGUAAUUGUGGGCUGACUGAUUUACUGAUUAUCAGUAUUUUAUUUUUUACUGAUUUACAGUAAUAAAUACAUUUAAAAAUGGCGCUA